rnacentral:rRNA from 1 species
AUGGAAGGAGAUAUGAAUCAAAAUAGAUUAAUAACAUAUAUAGCUCCAGACUUAAUGAUGCCUGUAAUAGAAUUUAUUGAGAAAAUGAGCUUUGGGUUUCAAACCAGAGGAUAUGAAGAUUUUAAAGGAACAAAUUUGUUAGUAAGCAUUGAAUUCAUAGGAAGACUCACGAAUAAAAGAAGCUCUAGAUACAAAGUAAACGUAAAUGACGUAAUAGAGAGCAUGCAAUCUAAAGGCAUAAAAUUUAUGAGCCCUCUUAAAAUUGGUUCUGAAGAGAGAGCAGGAGAGGAAUGGAAUAUAAGCGAAUUAAUAGAAAAGAAAGAGUUGAGGCAGCCAGAAAAUUAUAUAAGCUACCAAAAUAGCGAAGGAAGUAGUAGCAUUAGAUUAUUGAACUAUAAAUCCGCAGCCGUAGACAAAAUAGAACCUCUUUUGUCAGAAGCAGAGAGUAGUGAUAGUAGGAAUAAAGGAGUAAAAGAAUGCAUGGAAAAGGUAGACUUAGAAGAUGAAUUAAAACAUUGGGAAGAAAAAUUAAAACGCAUAAACUGGGAAUAUAAUAAUUCAAUGACAUCAGAUUGGCCUAAAAUAAGAGAAAGAGAAUUAUUCUUUAUUAGAGAAAUUUCGAGAAUAAAAAUAUUAAUAAAGGAUAAAAAACCAGUCAUUAGUAACCCAGUGGUGCCAAAGAAUAACAUUAAACGCGGAGAAAAUACCGAUAUCAAGAAUAAAGCUGAAAGUCAUAAAGAGAAAGCCAUAAGUGAAGAAGAUCAAUGGGAUAUCAAUAAUAAGAUAUUAUUAGAAAGAUAUAAAGAAGAAGAAGAAGAACCAUGGAAUCAAUAUGAAGAUCAAAAUUAUAUUGAUUUCGAGCAAAAUGCUGAUUUUAUAAACUCGUUAGAUGACAAAAUUCUGCAUAAUUUAGAAAAUGUGAUGGAAGCCAUGGAAGUAGAUUUAGGUGGUCAUAAAAGAAGAAGAGGUUAUGGCGAGUCAUCUGUAAAGAGAGAAGGAGAAAGAGAGAGACCUACUCGAUCUUCUGGAAAAUGGCCUCCUGAAAAAGAUGAUUAUCAACCUACAUAUAUCCCUGGACAAUAUACAUUUAUGGGUUCUAAAAGAAGAGGUUUUGAAAAGGCAGUGCAGUUCCAAAACUCUAGGAAUGAUGGUGCAAUUCUGAAUUUAACAGCCCAUGACCCUAUAGAUUGGCCGAAUAUAAUUAGUGUGUGGAAAGGAUUAAUAGUCCAAAAAUAUAUACAAAAUCAAUAUAAUAUAGGGAAUAAGGUGGAAGAUAUGAUAACAUAUCUUGAAACAUUUUUGGGAGAAUCAGUAAAAAUAUUCUGGGAACAAUGGGUAGAGACAUAUCCAGACCAAUACGAAGAACUAAAAAGAGCUGGGAGUAAUCCUAAUAACUUUGCCAAUGUCAUAUCAAAUAUGGUCAUAGCAGAAGAUCCAGAAUUGGGUCAUACCACAUUGCAAAAUGAAAGGUUGAGAGAAAUAGAAAAAUUAACUUUAACAAGUUGGAAAGGUAUAAAGGAAUUUUCUCAGCAUUAUUUAUACAAUGCUACCACAGCUAAGCAAGGCUACAAUAAAGGUGUGGUUGAAAGGUAUUUUAAUAGGUUACCAUAUCCAUUAGGAUCAAUAAUAUUUGAAGAAUAUAAGAAAGAUACUGCAGGCAUAGUCAUAAAUAUAUCUCAAUUUAUAACGUUUGUGUUUAAACAUCUUAGAAAGGUAUGUACAAGUAUACAGGCCCAGAGGUCUAUGAAGAAAUCCGAUUAUAGUUUCUGCAAUAAAAUCGUCCAAAUACCACUAACAUAUGGCGAAGAAAGACACAGGAGUAAGAAAUAUUAUAAACCACAAAGAGAUAAUAGAAAUUUUAGAACAAAGAAAAGAUAUUUCUUACGAAGAUCGGAUAAUAGAGCCCCAUUCCUGCAUAAAAGAAAUGUUAGAAGAUAUAAUCCUAGAAAAUCAUAUGAUAAAACAUGUAGAUGUUUCAUAUGCAAUUCACCUGAUCAUUUAAGUAAAACUUGCCCUAAUAAAGAUCAGAAAAGGUACUCUAGUAAAUAUGAAGAGCAAGAGAGAGUAUUAAUUAUAGAUAGUGUUAAUGAGAAUAUACUAGUAUGUGAUGAUGAAGUAAAAGAUGAUGAGUCAAUAUACUCCAUCAUAGAAACAGAUGAAAUAGAAAAUGAAGAGCUAGAAGAAGAAUCUAGUGAAGAUGAAAUCGAUUUAAUAGAUGAUCUAUCAGGAUUAAAAAUAGAGAUGAUGAACCAGGUAGAUUGUGAACAUGAUUGGAUUAGGGGAAAAGGAGACUAUAAUAUAAAAUGUGCCUUUUGCAUAUAUUACCCCAGCCAAGAGAAUAGGUAUACAUGUAGUUUAUGUUUAAGACAAGCUUGUAACUCAGGCCUAAAAUCUACGAAUCAAAGGUGGAGACAAGAAAUAGAAUAUGAACCUGAAGAUAGAAUAUUAUCUAGCAGAGUUAGAAAUCUAGAAAAUAGACUAAAUAAGUUAGAGGCAGAACUAGAAGAUCUAAAAUCUAACUUAGAAAAUAAAGCAAAUACAGAAGAAGAGAACAUUAUAGUUGAAGGCACGGAAAUAGAAGAGCAAAUAAUAACAGAAAGAGAUCAAAUAAUAGAACCAAAUAAAUAG